CCUACGGGCGGCAGCAGUGAGGAAUAUUGGUCAAUGGACGAGAGUCUGAACCAGCCAAGUAGCGUGAAGGAUGACUGCCCUAUGGGUUGUAAACUUCUUUUAUAUGGGAAUAAAAUGUUCCACGUGUGGGAUUUUGUAUGUACCAUAUGAAUAAGGAUCGGCUAACUCCGUGCCAGCAGCCGCGGUAAUACGGAGGAUCCGAGCGUUAUCCGGAUUUAUUGGGUUUAAAGGGAGCGUAGGUGGAUUGUUAAGUCAGUUGUGAAAGUUUGCGGCUCAACCGUAAAAUUGCAGUUGAAACUGGCAGUCUUGAGUACAGUAGAGGUGGGCGGAAUUCGUGGUGUAGCGGUGAAAUGCUUAGAUAUCACGAAGAACUCCGAUUGCGAAGGCAGUUCACUGGACUGCAGCUGACACUGAGGCUCGAAAGUGUGGGUAUCAAACAGGAUUAGAUACCCGGGUAGUC
rnacentral:rRNA from 1 species